rnacentral:rRNA from 1 species
UACGUAGGGAGCAAGCGUUGUCCGGAAUUACUGGGUGUAAAGGGAGCGUAGGCGGGGAUGCAAGUUGAAUGUUUAAACUAUCGGCUCAACCGGUAGUCGCGUUCAAAACUGCAUUUCUUGAGUGAAGUAGAGGUAGGCGGAAUUCCUAGUGUAGCGGUGAAAUGCGUAGAUAUUAGGAGGAACACCAGUGGCGAAGGCGGCCUACUGGGCUUUAACUGACGCUGAGGCUCGAAAGCGUGGGUAGCAAACAG